UAAAGGAGUGAUCCGGUGACGGAUGGGCAUGCGUGACAUUAGCUAGUCGGCGGGGUAACGGCCCACCGAGGCGACGAUGUCUAGGGGUUCUGAGAGGAAGGUCCCCCACACUGGUACUGAGACACGGACCAGACUCCUACGGGAGGCAGCAGUGAGGAAUAUUGGUCAAUGGGCUUACGCCUGAACCAGCCAAGUCGCGUGAGGGAAGACUGCCCUAUGGGUUGUAAACCUCUUUUGUCAGGGAGCAACGCCGGCUACGUGUAGCCGGACUGAGAGUACCUGAAGAAAAAGCAUCGGCUAACUCCGUGCCAGCAGCCGCGGUAAUACGGAGGAUGCGAGCGUUAUCCGGAUUUAUUGGGUUUAAAGGGUGCGUAGGCGGAAUGCCAAGUCAGCGGUAAAAUCGCGGGGCUCAACCUCGCUCCGCCGUUGAAACUGGCGUUCUUGAGUGGGCGAGAAGUAUGCGGAAUGCGUGGUGUAGCGGUGAAAUGCAUAGAUAUCACGCAGAACUCCGAUUGCGAAGGCAGCAUACCGGCGCCCAACUGACGCUGAAGCACGAAAGCGUGGGUAUCGAACAGGAUUAGAUACCCUGGUAGUCCACGCAGUAAACGAUGAAUACUAGCUGUUCGGGGCAAAUGAGCCUUGAGUGGC
rnacentral:rRNA from 1 species